UACGAAGGGGCUAGCGUUGCUCGGAAUCACUGGGCGUAAAGGGCGCGUAGGCGGACUUUUAAGUCGGGGUGAAAGCCCAGGGCUCAACCCUGGAAUUGCCUUCGAUACUGGGAGUCUUGAGUUCGGAAGAGGUUGGUGGAACUGCGAGUGUAGAGGUGAAAUUCGUAGAUAUUCGCAAGAACACCGGUGGCGAAGGCGGCCAACUGGUCUGAUACUGACGCUGAGGCGCGAAAGCGUGGGGAGCAAACAGG
rnacentral:rRNA from 1 species